rnacentral:lncRNA from 1 species
UUCCACUUGAUCAACAUCUAAUAUUGAGUCAUCCAUUGCUAGUACCGCAGCCUAAAAAUAUGCAGGCAGGUGUCAUAUUAGUUAAUGAAUAACAAAAAUAACCUAAAUUUCACAAAAAGAAAGACAAAAAAAAGUUGCAGCUCUACCUCCAAAGAAACCUUUUGAAAUGAGCAUAUUCUACAGAACACCUAACUUUUGAACAUGUGAUGACAUGUAGUUUUAAAACCAUAAUCGUAGCAAGAUUUAGAAGUCUUUGAUAGUGAGGUAGAUGUUGCUUUUUUAAAAAAAUUUCUUUUAAAAAUACAUUAAAAUAUUUUUUUUAAAAUGCAUUUUUAACUCAGCAUCUAAUAUUGAGUCAUCCAUUGCUAGUACCGCAGCCUAAAAAUAUGCAGGCAGGUGUCAUAUUAGUUAAUGAAUAACAAAAAUAACCUAAAUUUCACAAAAAGAAAGACAAAAAAAAGUUGCAGCUCCCCUUGCACCAAAGGUGGUAGAUUCCAGAAUAACUAAAUUUUUAGUAUCAAUGCAUAAAAGCAUGAUAAGCAUGUUGUCUUUGCUUAAAUCAACCACUGAGCUAAAUCUUUUAAGAGGGAAACCUACUAUAACUGGGGCAAAAUUGCAUGCAUGCACAGAAGUAAUAUAUAACCUGUCAUGGAUGAAAAUGAUAGCUCGGGAAAGUAAAUUCCACCACAAGGUUAAAAUGAUAUUAAGACCCCUAAAUAAUACACUUUUUAUUCACAAAAUCCUGCCCCAAGAUUACCAGCUCUGCUCAUCUCCCAGUCACAGCUGUCUACAAAAGCCCUAAAGCAACGCAACCUAAUAUUGGUUCCAUUUCCACAUCAAAAACGAAACUUAAAAUACAAUAGUACAGGGAAAUCCAAGUUGCAGGAGAGUACGCUCCAAGGUCAACAAACAGUGGUGAAGGCUGGCCAAAUCAGGGAAAUCAAAGUCACAGGAGAAUGUGCUCCUAGGUCAACAGACAGGAUAGCUUCUGAACAUUACAUUACACCCAACCUUUUACACUUCAAAAAACAUGCAUUUCUAUAAAUGGCUCAAGACUAGCACAAAUUGCUUGAAAAGUAGAAGUCAACUCUCUUUUAAAUAUACACAACAAAAAUAUCAACACAAACCACAUGAUGCUAUCCCAUUUAAACUUGGGAAUCUCAAGCAUUGCAUCUAGUCUAAGUGCGCACAAUAUCACAUCUUCAUCCACUAAUCAAGAAAAAUAGUUUUGAUAAAUAAAACAGAUA